CAAGAUUUUACAUUGUUCUAUAUAAAAUAUUAUAUUUAUAUUAUAAUAGUUAUUGUUUCAAGUUAUUAAUAAAAUAUUGUAUUUCAUAGGAAUAUCCAUUAUGCCAUUUGAAGUAAAUAACGAUUUAAAUAUCUUUGCCGAAAAUAUAAGAAUUAUCGAUAGGACUUCACCUUAUAAUGCUACUGACACCAGAGAAGUUACAAGAAUUAUGAACGCGAUUGCAAAUAAUAUUGGUAAGAGGGGAAAAUGGAAUUAACAUACAUAGAAUUUGUUAUUUAAAUCUCAAUAUGAC